UACGGAGGAUGCAAGCGUUAUCCGGAAUGAUUGGGCGUAAAGCGUCCGCAGGUGGCAAUGUAAGUCUGCUGUCAAAGCGUCUGGCUCAACCAGAUAAAGGCAGUGGAAACUACAUAGCUAGAGUAAGGUAGGGGUAGAGGGAAUUCCUGGCGUAGCGGUGAAAUGCGUAGAGAUCAGGAAGAACACCGGUGGCGAAGGCGCUCUGCUAGGCCGCAACUGACACUGAGGGACGAAAGCUAGGGGAGCGAAUGGG
rnacentral:rRNA from 1 species